rnacentral:rRNA from 1 species
UACGUAGGGGGCAAGCGUUGUCCGGAAUCAUUGGGCGUAAAGAGCGUGUAGGCGGCCAGAUAAGUCCGCUGUGAAAUCUCGAGGCUCAACUUCGAGCUGUCGGUGGAAACUGUCUGGCUAGAGUCCGGAAGAGGAGAAUGGAAUUCCUGGUGUAGCGGUGAAAUGCGCAGAUAUCAGGAAGAACACCCGUGGCGAAGGCGGUUCUCUGGGCCUGACCUGACGCUGGAGGAGCGAAAGCGUGGGGAGCGAACAGG